GACCGAAAAAGGCACACCUGUUGUAAGACAGGGUCGCAAAACCACGGGUCCGAAUCAAGAAAUUGAAGGAUAGCCGGGUUGCCGGA
rnacentral:ncRNA from 1 species